CAAAAUACCUGAAAGAAACAACCGAAAGGGACAAAAGGUUUAUUUUGGCUCAUGGUUUCAGAGGUGUCCAUCCAUAGUCUCUUGUCCCUGUGUGGCACAGUGAAUCAUGGUGGAGAACCUGGUGGAGGAAGCCUGCUUACCUCAUGGCAGCAGAGAAACGAAAAGAAAGAAAGAGGAAGGGGCUGGGGUCCCAAUAGCCUAACUUCCUUCCACUGGAUCCCUCUACCUACAGGUUGCACCGCCUCUCAAUAGUACCAGGGACUGGGGAGCAAGCCUUCAACAGAUGGGCCUUUGGGGGAACAUUUACUAUCCACACUAUGGCCCGUGUAACAUAGUACUUUGGUGUUGCUCUUCAGAAAAAGUUCUUCUCUUUCCAACAUGUACUGAAAUAGAGUUAGUUCUUAUGACUCCCAGAAUCUGUAUUUGUGAAUGCACCUACUCACUAAUUUCAUUUGUAAUUGCAAAAGCAAUUUGUUCCUGGUGCUUUUCUGGUCAUUAGUGGACAUGCACGAAGUGGUUUAAAAAAAAAAAAAUCUUGAGUCAUCCAGGACUUAUGUUCGCAGAUGAAUACAGUACCUGGGUGUUGCUUUCACCCCGUACAGGACUAUCCUUUUCAUGGUUUAUCAACUAUCUUGUAAUUUGCAUUCUUGUGCCUUCUAGUAUUCCUUAGCAUAUGAAGUCUGCGAUGUGUCUCCCAGAGAAACUACAUCUGUUAACUAAGCUUCAUCCAGGCAAGAGUGAUAGGGCUGUUGGCUGCAAAUUCUAGGUUAAUGAAUUAACAGCAUGAAUUAAAUAAGGUUUCUCCAAUCAGAAACUUAAAUGCAACAAGGCUAUGUUUUGCUCACUUAGCAAAAGGGUGGCUGGAGGUUCACAAGGAGGCUAACUAUAUUUCCUCAAGGAUCAGAGAUUUAGGGUUCACUAAUUCUGUGUUCACAGCAAACUUUAAAGAACCUAACUACCCUGAAUACCAAGAAUCAGUUGUAAUCACGGAUGAAAUAUGCAUCUGAAAUUUACUGCAAAAUAAUCUGGGAGCCUGGAAGUAGAAAUAUAAAUGAAACAGAUUGGUCAAGAGUAAAUUGUUGAAAAUGUAUGACGGGUGCAUGACUGUUCAUUACACUAUUCUUUCAACUUUUGUAUAUAUCUGAACAUUCCCAUAACAAAAAGGUCUUAUUUUUUUUUUUAAGAGGGAGAGAGAAUAGUACAGUAGAAACAAAAGUUUGGAUUUCCUACAGGCCUUAAAAAUCAUUCAAUGCAUUAUAUAAAGAAAUAUAAUUGUUUAGAAGGAGAAUGAAUUAAAUUUCAUGCAGAGUAUAAAUGAUCCAGUGCCAUGUAAAGUCCGUAUAUACAAAUCUGCAAAAGUAAAAGACAAUGAAUGAGUGUGGGCUUUAUAAAUUGUAAGGUAAUAUAGAAACUUACAUGUCUUUGUUAGAAAGUGAAAAGAAAAAGGCAAGAGAUGUCUAAAUAAAAGACUGCUCUGCCAUUCAACUGCAAUAAAGCUCAGCUUUUAACCUUCAUGCUUAUUUAGCCCACGAAUAAACCUGAUUCAGACCCCUGGGGUGACUCCACCACCUCUGCCUCCCACUCACUCUCUGAGUUUGCAACAGGUCAAACCCAAGGUUGAUGCCCUUUUAUACCUUUUUUUUUUUUUUGCAACAAUGCAAAAAAAAAACCACUUCCUCUCCAGCUCUGACAUUAUUCGAGUUAAUUUUACCAAGCUGAAACUCUGGGACAUACUGUCUGCUCCCAUCCCCAACCAGUGUCUACCAAAUGCAUUUGGGGGAGGGGGGAGCUAGCCUAUGCAGAGAGAUUCCAGGAGCACAAAGGACAGGGUGGGCUAGAGCAAUCAGGGUUGCCAUGGCAGCAUAUAAGCUCUGCUUGUAUCUGUUUCAUAUCUGAGGUUUUACAAAAGAUUUUGCAAGGGGAAAAA
rnacentral:lncRNA from 1 species